AGAUUAAGGCACUGAAAAAGGAUGUUGUGAAGCUAUUUAAAAAUUUAGAUAAAUAUGAUGAUGGGGCCAAUUUCUUUGAUGAUCAACAUCAAGGUCCUGUUUCAGCCACCUCAUCAGUUGUUCGUGGGCUGACAACUUUCGCUUCCGCUUCCGGAAGUUUUAAUAUAUGACACAAUCUUAUUAGAUACUAAGGGACAAGAUAUUGGGUUUGGCAAGAUUUUUUCUUGGGAUUGGAAUCCCUGGCAAUAGCAAGCAUUUAUAUCACCAAAUUGAUGCUUUAGAUUGCUUAGAUCAAAACAGGAAAGUGAAUAACAUUCUCUCUUAAGUCUUAACACAUUUAUUUUUGAAUCUAUUGACAUUUUUGUUUUUUAUUUUUCGUUUAGGGAAUUAGUUCCUCUCAUUUUAUCACUUCCAGCUAGUGUCCUUUCAUUUACCAGCCAAGACAAACUUAAGACUUGUGCAGGUGUUUUUGUGCUUACUGACCUUGUAUUUUGGUGCCUAUUACUCCCGUUUCAGUCUGGCGAUGGCUUCAAGCUUACCCUGUUGAUUGGUUGCAUGCACUCCCUGAAUGUUGUUUUUCUCCUCUUGGAUUCUGCUCUCAACAGCCUACAAUUUACUUGGCACGGGUUAACAUACUUUGUCUUGUGGAGCUCAUCUUAUACAAUUUUCCAGUGUGUUAUGCAUGCCUGCUGCUUUACAUGGUGGCCUUAUCCCUUCCUGGAAAUUGCUACUCCAUGGGCUCCCAUGUGGUACUUUGGCAUCGCUUUAGUUCACCUUCCAUGUUACGGACUAUAUGUUUGGCUUAUGAAAGUGAAAGCAUCGAUGCUGUCAAAUGUGUUUCCGCAAGCAUUUAUAGUCCAACGUGUGGUUUUCGUUUACAAUCUACUAAGGAGAAAGAUCACACAACUCGAUGAUGCAAAAGGGGUAAUCCCGGGAAUCUCAAGACGGGCAGAUUUAUGGUUAGGUACAAUCUUGAUGAAUAAAGGUGCCCGAGUGAAUACAAAAAGACGGGUCGGACCCGUACCCGAUGUCGAUAUUGGUAAUGUUUUUUUCUGAACGGAGCUCUGUUUAGUGGGAUUACAUUCUCCAAGCAUGGCAGGGGUGGUACCAAUAAAGAGAUCAUUGAGUGAGGGAUCAAUAGAAAUGGUCUGGACAGAAUGACUUAAUAGCGGUAAGCCUGGUGGGCAAAAAAACUUGCUUCUUUUACUAGGGUGUCAUCAACAGUUUAGGCAAGUCAACUUUGUCCUUUUUUGUAAAAUUUAAUAUGAUUAUAUCAAUUAUUUACGAAAUUCAAAAAGAAAAAAGACAAAAAAAAGUAUCCAAGUUGUUGACUUUUUUGUUUUAUGUAGGCUUAAUUUGGUGCUAAUGCUAUGAUUGAUGAUUGGGAAGAGAAUUUGGAUAUGAUUACUACUAAGAAGACCAAAGAUGUUGAAUUGGUGCUUAUUCAUCUCGGAGAUUGUUUAUGGAAAGAAACAAGUAAUGUGUUUUUCUCCUAAAGAGUACAAAUGCAGAUUUGGAACGCAUGACCCUUUAUAUCAUAUCAGAUUUGGAACGCAUGACCCUUUAUGCACUUGUCUUCCACUUGCUUAUAGCCUUACACCAUAAGACAAAGUGUUGGAGUUUAAGUAAGUGCAAACUUGUUCUGGAGUGAUUUUAGGAGACAUUUCUGGAGAUUUUGUUGUCACACAUACUGAAGAUGAGAUCCUUCAAGCUUCCAUUGUUGCUUUAACUGCAUUUUUCAGGUAUAUCUUUUUACGAAUCCUAUAUGGCUCGUGAAAACACAAUUACAACUUCAAACUCCUCAAAACACUCGCGCAUAUAGUGGCUUAGCUGGCAAGGAACAUAUACCAGUGUCCAUAGGGCUCUGUGAUUAGAAGCCAAGCCAAGUGUGGGAAAAUACUUAAUGAGCAGAAUAACCUCUUUGAAAGUUUGCUUCUUUGAAUUAUAAGAUGCACACCUGCUACUUGUUGACUUGCCAGAGCUAAAAUCUUUGACCAACAGGUUCUGACAGCUCUAGCAACCUCCUUCCAUGCCGUACAGCCUCUCAAAGUUCCUACAUUCAGGUUAUUCUUUUAGAAAGGAAAUUGUCAAAGGAGAUUGUCAAAGGAGAAUUUAUUCAUGGGUUUCUUUUAAUGUUGUACAUGUUUUGUUUUCUAUAAUAAAUAUUAUGCAAUAUUAGCAAUGUGUUACAUUUACUUACUAUUGGAAUGAUUAUUUGUA